GCAUAUGCUAUGCUAUGCUUGAGUACAUUUGUUCAAUACAUACAUAUGAGGUAGAACAGUAGAACCACUGUCAUUAUUCUAGUAGUGCCUCACAAUGACAGAAGAGAGAGAGCAUGCUGAUGGGAAAACAAUUACAACUUUUGAUCAUCUGAUCUGGAAAUGCUUGUAAGCGGC
rnacentral:precursor_RNA from 1 species